UCGAGCGCGCCCUUCGGGGUGAGCGGCGGACGGGUGAGUAACGCGUGGGAACGUGCCCUCUUCUGCGGGAUAGCCUCUGGAAACGGAGAGUAAUACCGCAUACGCCCUUUUGGGGAAAGAUUUAUCGGAGGAGGAUCGGCCCGCGUUGGAUUAGGUAGUUGGUGGGGUAACGGCCUACCAAGCCUACGAUCCAUAGCUGGUUUUAGAGGAUGAUCAGCCACACUGGGACUGAGACACGGCCCAGACUCCUACGGGAGGCAGCAGUGGGGAAUCUUAGACAAUGGGGGCAACCCUGAUCUAGCCAUGCCGCGUGAGUGACGAAGGUCUUAGGAUCGUAAAGCUCUUUCGCCUGUGAUGAUAAUGACAGUAGCAGGUAAAGAAACCCCGGCUAACUCCGUGCCAGCAGCCGCGGUAAUACGGAGGGGGUUAGCGUUGUUCGGAAUUACUGGGCGUAAAGCGCACGUAGGCGGNACCAUCAAGUUGGGGGUGAAAUCCCGGGGCUCACCCCCGGAACUGCCUUCAAAACUGGUGGUCUGGAGUCCGAGAGAGGUGAGUGGAAUUCCAAGUGUAAAGGUGAAAUUCCUAAAUAUUCGGAGGAACAUCA
rnacentral:rRNA from 1 species